GCGCGGCACACAAAACAGACAAAACUAAAUCAAUAAAUAAAAGAUGGAGGGUCAAGUAAAGGGCAGCGACAAAUCUAGGAAGAUAGAUGAAGUCAGGCGGGAGAUGAUCCUGAGCAUGAAGAAGGGGCAAAGGACUCAGGGACGGCCUUUCUGGAGGCGGUGGUGUGGAGGGGACGCUGUUGGAAUGAAGGAACGACCCACAAAGCUGUCUAGGAAGAGUGGGACGGGCAGCGGAGAAGGAGAAAGAGUGCGUCACAGAAAGAGCCUGGCACAUAAUAGGUGCACAAGAAGAAUUCAGAACGAGGCGCCCUUUCCCUACUUUACCAAAUGGAAAAGGUUUCUAGGUUCCUGCUGCUCCUCGACUGGGGCCACCUCCUCGACUGCCGGCCUCACUUCUUAUCCCACCCUCUCCUAUCCUGGAAGAUGGGUUCUGGUGAAGGUGGCAACUCUUUGGCAGGAGGAGAAGGGGAGCUUCCACCCAAGAGGCUGUGCGAUGCAGUGGGAGCCUGGCACACAGAGGGGGACUCCUGAGCCAAGACUCCUGCCAGCCGUAGGCCAUGGGAUGCCGGAAAGCCAGAAUAACGGGGCCACCUUCCCUGUGAAGACCGACAUCGGAUGGCGCCCUGCAGCCUCCUUGGGUGGCUUCUGCAUCUGCAGCACGAAGCCCACAGCCCUUUCCAAGACACCUGAGGCCUCUGCAUCUCCUUCCCAAUGUGCCCUCUUUCUCACCUCCUCUCUGCCAGCUGAUCAGCUGAGGCCCUGCGAGAGUGACCUUGGUGUGGCAGCCAGGGGCCCGCCCUCCUCCAGGGGUUCACGCGGAGGGGAUGCAGCAGCCUACAGGCCAAGGACUCCUCCUCGGAGAGCCCGUAUCUGCUCAUGUUCCCAAGAUUCCCCGCCAAGCUACACUUCAUCGCAGCUCCCUGUAUAAUUCCUUCUGAGCUCUGUGCCCUUAUAAAAUAUUCUUUCCUUUUUCCAUUCAUUCAACAGCAGUGAUGGGCACAGCACAGGGAUCUCAGCAGCUACAAAAACUUUAGUAAUAUAAGGGUUGUCUGUGCUGCUGAUGUCUUCCUUCAUGCAUAAAAAAGAAAAUGAAAGGACUAAAUACCUAUGGGAAAGCUACAGCCCUACUCAGGGACAUUUCCACAAAGACCACCUGAAAUAGGAAUGUCCUUUCUCAAGUGGAAGCUGUGGUCUGUCCCUCAGUGUAAUUUCACAAAUGCACAGCUAAUGCCUUCUGUAGCUCAGGACGCAUCCUAAGCCACUUUACGUGCAGCCUCUCAGACCACAAACAAAGGAAAAGCCAUUACCAUCCUCAGAUCACAGACAAAUGAGGCAAAAGCGGUGUAACUUCCCCGAGAUCAAAAGAGAUCACAAGUGCUGGAGACAAGACUAGCUUCCUUGAGAACCCUCAGCCUGUCAUGGUUAGCAGGCUGAGCGCGCUCAAUAAUACUGCAGCACCGAGGAUUCCAAUCACCUUUUUUCCUUUCAUCGCCAGCAGGUGGCGCCAAUAACCUGCCCAGCUGUGCACCUGCUCCAGGAAGGUUUGGUCUAGAUGAGAAGGGAACCUACACCCGCUCAGGAGGAAGUUUCCUUCUGGGAUCCAAGCAGGGGGAGCAUGCGGGGAGACAGAUGCUGGGUGAGCCUGGUUCUGCCAAAAAAUAACUUCUUCAUUGAGUCCACCGGAUUACAAAAUAGUCAUGCCCAGUUGCUUCUGGGUUAUACAAUAAAUCAGAUCAUUUUCCCUUGGGGGGGGCCCAAGUCCCCCAAGUUUUAAAUGACCUAGAGCCUACCAGUGCCAGAGAAAAACCAACAACUUCAAAUAAGCAUAUAGGCAACUAUUUGGAAUCUCAAAACUAACAAGCGGGGAGCUGGGGUCUAACCAAGGCUCAGCAGGCCACACAGUGCGUGGGUUUUCUAGCAAGCCACAGUUCUCGCUGGUGAGGUGCAUGGCUACCCCAUGCACGUGCUGGGGUAGAGUGGAGGUGACACGGUCUUCCACCAGGAGGUUCCAUUCUACCAGGAAGAGGGGAACACAGACAUCAUUCGGGGUGGAAGGGCUCUGCUAAGAUCAGCCCCAGAGGAAAUGCCAUAAAAUGUGCCCUCUUCACAGAGGAACCUGGACCUCAGUGCUCACUGUGUCCCCGCACCUGGCACAGGGCCUGGUGCACUUUGAUCCUCAUGUAUGUGUGGCCAGCGGGCCAUGGGCCCAGGACGGAAGCCAUGGUGACAGAGGCGGGCCUUCCUGAAGAGAUGGGCCUGGGUGGCUUUGAGGAUGAGGUAGGAGUUUACAGGUAGAAGAGAGGGGAAAGGUGUUCCAGGCAUAGGGAAGGGUGACAGAGUGCAGCAGUAUUCUCUCAAUUUCUGUUCAAUCACAACCCGUAGGCCCACACCCCAGUGUGCACACCCACGCACACAUACGCACACAUAGCUGGAG
rnacentral:lncRNA from 1 species